rnacentral:rRNA from 1 species
UACGUAGGUGGCAAGCGUUGUCCGGAUUUACUGGGCGUAAAGAGCGCGCAGGCGGUCGUUUAAGUCGAAUGUGAAAGCCCCCGGCUCAACUGGGGAGGGUCAUUCGAUACUGAUCGACUCGAAGGCAGGAGAGGGAAGUGGAAUUCCCGGUGUAGUGGUGAAAUGCGUGGAUAUCGGGAGGAACACCAGUGGCGAAGGCGACUUCCUGGCC